UGGAACAACAGAGGACACAGAUCAGGAGUCGUCGUUUCAAGCAACUAUGGAAUCUCUCCCUCCAUAUCAGACGCUCGACAACAACCUACCGGACUACGACUCGUAUACCUCUUUCAAUCUGCAGCACUACGCAUACAGCGAUAAGCCAGAGCAAUGAUUUCUGGUGAGCCUUGGAACGUGAAGAAUUACCGGCUUCGCUGGAUAUUGUUUUAGAAAAUGAGUCAAGACUCUCCUCUCGAGCUCUUUAACAUGGCAGAGUUUCCAUGUGCUGUAUUGAGUGUGUGUGAGAGCGUGCGCUUGUAUAUGUUUCAAUUGUUGUACUGCGUAUUCUGUAAUGGGCUUGUGCCAAUUAAAUAGUUGGACUAAAUUGCUGGUAUGAAACUUCAGUUGAUCGCGACAUCGAUCUUCCAUUGCAACUGUUCGGGCAUUUUCUGGCGAUCCAUGUCGGACUACGUUAUAUGUACUAGUUCGACUAGACACCUGGACGCUUUUU